rnacentral:lncRNA from 1 species
GAAUUCAGGUAUAAAUAUAAUUGACAAGAGCCAAUACAAAUGCGAUAACCACAUAAAUAAAAAAAAAACUAAAGAACCUUGCUAUAAAUGAAAGAGGUCAAGGUUAAACUUUUGAAAUUCAAACCGGGGCCUAGGCUACAGUUAUCAUUAGAAUGGCAAUCAAACAAGCAGGGCCAAGGCGUGUCGCUUUAAAAAUCUAUGCCCACCCACCAGUCACUCCUGUCUGGCUUUGAAAUUUUAGUUGCUCCUUUAUUUUCUUGUUCAAGUACAUUAUUCGAAGGGGCUGUGGAGUGGACAGAGAGGGUUUCUCUGGGACGGUUGAUGCCGGUGGUGGAUGGUCAUUCGCAUGGGAAAAGGUCUUUGGCUUCGGGGCCCUAAAAAUAAAGUAGAGAUUGCUGCAUGCUUUCCAACCAGACUUUCCUCAUUAUUCAUUUCUUUUACUGUCAUUCUUUAACAAUUUGCUAAUUUGAGUACUUUAAUCAUCAUUAGUCGUGCUUACCAAGGCUGUUUCCAAUUUAUAUUAGAAGGGUCCCACACACUCAUGAGAGGUGGUGGCAAAUUGUCUCUCUCAAAUGAAACGUCGGAGUACAAAAUUGGUACUUAUGUAAUGACGUUUUACUUUAAUAAUAUUUUAAGUAUUUAUUUAAUAUUAACUAAAUUUUGUUAUUAUUUUAGAAAGAUGAUUUCUUUA